ACGGCUCAGUAACACGUGGUUAACUUACCCUUGGGACAGGAAUAACCCCGGGAAACUGGGGCUAAUGCCUGAUAGGUGAAUAUGCCUGGAAUGGCUCUUCGCUUAAAGGGGGCUAGAGCCAUGCUCUUUGGUUCUGCCCAAGGAUAGGACCGCGUCCGAUCAGGUUGUUGGUGGGGUAACGGCCCACCAAGCCGAUAACCGGUACGGGCCCUGAGAGGGGGAGCCCGGAGAUGGGAACUGAGACAAGGCCCCAGGUCCUACGGGGCGCAGCAAGCGCGAAACCUCCGCAAUACGCGAAAGUGUGACGGGGUCAUCCCGAGUGCCGCCCGCUGAGGGCGGCUUUUACUCGGUGUAAGGAGCCGAGAGAAUAAGGGGAGGGCAAGCCUGGUGUCAGCCACCGCGGUAAUACCAGCUCCCCGAGUGGUGAGGAUGAUUACUGGGCCUAAAGCGUCCGUAGCCGGUUUAGCAAGUCUCCCGUCAAAUCUACUGACCUAAUCGGUAGGCCGCGGGAAAUACUGCUAGACUAGGAGGCGGUAGAGGCCGGCGGUAGUCCCAGGGUAGGGGUAAAAUCCUAUAAUCCUGGGAGGACCACCAGUGGCGAAGGCGGCCGGCCAGAACGCGCUCGACGGUGAGGGACGAAAGCUGGGGGAGCGAACCGGAUUAGAUACCCGGGUAGUCCCAGCUGUAAACGAUGCGGGCUAGGUGUUGGAACGGCUACGAGCCGUCCCAGUGCCGCAGGGAAGCCAUUAAGCCUGCCACCUGGGGAGUACGGCCGCAAGGCUGAAACUUAAAGGAAUUGGCGGGGGAGCAC
rnacentral:rRNA from 1 species